rnacentral:rRNA from 1 species
UACAGAGGGUGCGAGCGUUGUCCGGAAUCACUGGGCGUAAAGGGCGCGUAGGUGGCCUGAUAAGUAGGGGGUGAAAUCUCGAGGCUCAACUUCGAGGCUGCCUUCUAAACUGUCGGGCUUGAGCAGAGUAGAGGCAGGUGGAAUUCCCGGUGUAGCGGUGGAAUGCGUAGAGAUCGGGAAGAACAUCGGUGGCGAAGGCGGCCUGCUGGGGUGAUGCUGACACUGAUGCGCGACAGCGUGGGGAGCAAACAGG